UGCUUCUUGAGCAUGGCUUGUAUUUAACUGUACAAAGUUUUUCUAUUAUUUUUCAGUUCGUAAUGUGAAAAUGGGGACGAAGCAACCCACUGGUUUCACGUUUACAUCUUUAAAGUCUUCAUCCACGGUGAAGCUGGAAACAUUUCAGCAAAGGUUAUCAAAUGUGAAAUUGGUUGUUUCAUCCAACAAAAAGAAACAAAAAAAAGAAAAAAAAGAAAAAAAGAAAAAAAGGAAAAAAAUGAAAAAGAGAAAAAAAAGAAAAAAAUAAAAAAAAUCUGACAUUGUAAGAGGCUCUCUUUAUUGCAUAGAAGCGUUGCACACUUAAUUGUUGGGACUCGUGGAUACUUGAAAGAAGUACCCAUGCUCAUAAAGCGCAUCAACUUAUGAAUUGGUGCAAGAAUCAUAUUCUUGUAUGUUGAGAUUGAAAAGUUCGUCCGAAGAGGAUGCAUUGGGAAUGCAACCGGGACCUGCUUGCCAGGUGGAUUUGGAGAUGAUCUGAAUCUGAAUUAUAUUGUGGGCAUGUUCUUGUUCAGGUGGCUGACAUUUCUGAUGAAUUGGGGAAGAAGCGUCGUCAGUGUGUUAUAUCCGGGGAAAAAGAGCAUGAAAAAGCUGAGAAAAAUACAGCUAUACAUCAACUACUCAACCACUGCAGAUAAAGAUAGUUACAAGUGCAUAUCUGUAGCAGAAACUAUCGCUUAAGACUGUGUUUUGGAGACUGCGAUGAAAGGCCAACAGUUUCAGCACAGAAACUUGUUGCUACAUGGUUCGUGGAAAUGGUUGGUGGAUUCAUUUGCAUCUUUUCUGGAGUUUUAGAUGCAUACACAAAGCUCAGAUACCUUUCAUACGUUAUGGAUAUCUCCACAGCAACAGUAGAUUAUCUUGAUUUGGUGCACGACAUUCUGCUGCCCGUGGUAAUCAAAGACAAAAGUAAGCACACAUUGAGUCACUAAGAGGCCAGUUUUCUGGGAGAAGUUUCUGUUUCUGUUCAAAUUGAGCAGAUACUCACUCUGGUCUUCGAGAAUUUCAAGUAACUUGAUGAAUCAUCGAUGUCGGGUAUUAAAGAUGUAUUCGGACCUGCAACAGGAUUGGCUGCACCUGCACUUGAUCCAGCUUUGUAGCUCUACAAAUGGUUGCAUGCUAUUCUUUCCCCGAGAUUGCUACGAGAAAAAGGUCAAUCAGGCACUUGUUUGAAAUUGAUGAGUUCUUUUCGACUAAUAACGAAAACAUGUUAUUGGAUCCCGUGGCUGUCUCCACAGCAUAUAUGAAAGGAAAAACUAAUGCAUGGGUCUCAAGAUGUGAAGGUAGCAGUGAAAAACAAAGUUCCUCUUGUAAGGUCGUUGACUUGAGCUGUGUUACAUUCUGUAUUGAAACAAGUAGCAUGGUUGCAUGAUAUUCUUUCACCCGAGGUUCUUAGUGAAGGCCUAUCAUGGAUGGUUUCUGCAGUGGACGACUUUGGUACUUCUCAUAUUAAGCUGAAGCUUUAGGAAGGUUGAUAAAGUAACUGAUUCUACAUCAACUGCGGUGAGUGGUGGCAUCACUGGCAUGGAUGGUCUUCCACGUCAAGAUAUCAGUGAAAAGACUACCCCCCCUGUUAAAAGGCUUAGAGUGUAGGUCCGUUCGGAAUCUAUUGAAAGUGUGACCAAAAUUCUGGAAGAGGCGAACAAACCUAUUCUGCCUGCUGGAACUGGAGAUCUAUUUGGAGCUCUAAAAGGGCGUCCACACGACAGUAACAGCAUUUUUUUUAUUAUUGCUACUUAGUCCACAAUCGGUACUCUUACGACUGCAAUGGACUGCCAGUUGAGAAGUCAGGCAAGGGCAUUCUUUCAGAUGCCUUGAAAUGCCUUGGCGACACAAAAAGCAUAUGAUUGAGUGUACAAUGAGAGUACCAAUGCUUGGUGCUGCUCAUCUCGAUAAAAUGGUCUGUAGUCAUUUUAGAAAAUAGUGUUUUUCGACUUCCUGCUUUGAGUAUUGUUAACCUCACGCUUGCUGAUGUCUUUAGCGUUUAGCUACCAUAUAUUAUUCUCUCAGAUGCUGAAAUAGGCAUAGAAGGGCGCAGGGAUCUUUUUAAAUGGCUAUCAAGAAGACAACUUGCUGGAUUGGAUAAAUAAGCAGAUGGUUGUAAAGCGGCUGAACCAUGCUUUAAUGAAAUAUUGAGAGGGUUUAUGGACAAGAAACGGUAUGAACAUCCAAAUUUUUUGUUACUUGAUUGAUGUUGGCCAACUCUUUUAGCUGCUAUGUGGCGCCUAGACCUAUCUUAUAUCUCUUCCCUUAUAUGUACCCAAAAAAUUGAGAUAUAUACAACAUUUUGCUUUAGCUGUUAUUAGCAAACGACUGAAGCCAUAUGGAGCUCUUCAAGAUAAUUAUGAAUCUGGUAGAUCUGUUUCGUCAAGGUACACCGGGUGCUUUUUCAUAUUGCAAAUGCCAAACCAGGGUUUGGAAGAUAUCAUCCUUUUAAGGGCGUGGUCAUAGCAAUUGCCACAACUGAAGGAUUCAAGAAUGAAGCUAAAAACAUGCUAGUUGCAUCUGGAUGGAUAGACAACGACGUGAAGAGGAGUUGAAAGGGCCAUCGAAAUUCCAUGGCUUCUUCUCCUCGGAUGUUCAGUCCUUUUCGAUAAGCGUUUUCGGAGUAACUCUUACCAGCCGCAUCGACAUGCUUCGUGAGAACCGGAAGCCAAAAAGGGUAUUGGAUAUAGGCCUCCUUACCCUUGGACAAUGGGAAUUCUUGGUUUCUUGCUGAGAUUUAUGCAAUGCCGAACAUGAUGAUGAUCCUCAAAUUUUAGAUUGAGUAUGCUACACCUAGCCCUCAUUCAUACGGAACUUUGACCGGGGAUGACAAGUGAGUUAGCUUAGGAUAUUCUGACCAGCUUCCUUAUGCUCAAGGCCUUUUACAAGGACAAUCAGAAUAUGCAGUUAGUCAAGUCUCUCCACAUCCAUCACACUUGUAUUAAAUACUUACUAACGAUCUAUUACUUUUGCAACAAACUUUUGUAUUGUCGCAGGUACAACAACUAAUAUUGAAAACCAAAUGGUUGUCAAUAAGAAGCUUUAUACUAUGGCUUCAUUCCA